rnacentral:lncRNA from 1 species
AAACCCAAAGGGAAAAACCGUAAGAAGGAAAAAGAGUACCCGUCUAGACGACCAAAGAAACGACAAGAGAAGGAAGAGCGGAAGGGAAAGUUUCAGGAACUCCGGCCUAACCAUCGUCCCCAAACCAACCCGGCUCAAGCCAACAGAACCAAAACAAAAAAACAAACCAACACAGUAGGCAAAAGGCCGGUGAUACGCCGUCGCCAAAUGCCCACAACGAAAACCAAGCAAACAGAAAAGGAAGGCAAAAGGCCGGUGAGACGCCGUCGCCAUAUGCCCAACACUAAGACCCACAAACAGAAAAGGAGGCUUACGGCCGGUUAUACGCCGUCGCCAUAAGACUCCCGCGAACCCAAAACCAAGCCAAAAGAGAGCCGAAGUAGGUCGGCGCAAAAAGACCAAUCUCCCCGAAGAGAGAAGAAGCAACAGUUUCGGCCGGUGAGAUGCCGUCGCCAGAAACUGACACUCCUUGAACAAACAAACCGAAGGGACAACCCCCAAAAAGCAGAAAGG